UCAACCCUCAAGCCCGGCUUGUUAUUGGGCCCUUAUCGUUAAAGAUAGGCCCGAAAGAUAAUGGCGGCGUCAACAAUGACCCCAGAUGCAGCGAGCUUAUAGCAUACAUCGAAAGGUUUUGUUGCCCCGGCCUUGUUUUGCUUCGGCAAAAAUUUUUCAAA
rnacentral:misc_RNA from 1 species